AUUGAACGCUGGUGGCAGGCCUAACACAUGCAAGUCGAGCGGAUGAAGGGAGCUUGCUCCUGGAUUCAGCGGCGGACGGGUGAGUAAUGCCUAGGAAUCUGCCUGGUAGUGGGGGAUAACGUCCGGAAACGGGCGCUAAUACCGCAUACGUCCUGAGGGAGAAAGUGGGGGAUCUUCGGACCUCACGCUAUCAGAUGAGCCUAGGUCGGAUUAGCUAGUUGGUGGGGUAAAGGCCUACCAAGGCGACGAUCCGUAACUGGUCUGAGAGGAUGAUCAGUCACACUGGAACUGAGACACGGUCCAGACUCCUACGGGAGGCAGCAGUGGGGAAUAUUGGACAAUGGGCGAAAGCCUGAUCCAGCCAUGCCGCGUGUGUGAAGAAGGUCUUCGGAUUGUAAAGCACUUUAAGUUGGGAGGGAGGGCAGUAAGUUAAUACCUUGCUGUUUUGACGUUACCAACAGAAUAAGCACCGGCUAACUUCGUG
rnacentral:rRNA from 1 species